AGAGAUGUGUGAUGACGCAUAUCAAUAAGCGGAGGAAAAGAAACUAACAAGGAUUCCCCUAGUAACGGCGAGUGAAGCGGGAAGAGCUCAAAUUUGAAAUCUUCAAGGGUUUCCCUUGACGAAUUGUAGUUUAAAGAAGUGUUUUAUGUUAGAGAGGUGGUAAAAGUUCUUUGGAAUAGGACAUCAUAGAGGGUGAGAAUCCCGUAUUUGAUCACUUUCUACUAACGUUGUGAUACACUUUCAAAGAGUCGGAUUGUUUGGGAAUGCAGUCCAAAAUGGGUGGUAAAUUUCAUCUAAAGCUAAAUAUUGGCGAGAGACCGAUAGCGAACAAGUACCGUGAGGGAAAGAUGAAAAGAACUUUGAAAAGAGAGUUAAACAGUACGUGAAAUUGUCAAAAGGGAAGCGUUUGACACCAGUGUUGUUUUUCCGAAAAUCAAUUACGAAUGUUUUAUUUUUGAGAAGUUAUGACUUCAUCGGCUUGCUUCUCUCUUUAUGAAACUUUCUUAAUGCACUUUUCGGUUAACAAGUCAACAUCAAUUCCCUUUGUUGUAAAAGGGUAUGAGGAAGGUGGCUUUCUUUUCGGAGAAAGUGUUUAUAGCCUUGUACCUCUGCAAUCGGAGAGAUUGAGGUCUGCAGCGUAGAUCCUUCGGGGUUAGAUACAUUUGUGCUAAGUUAUAGCUUUUCAUAGACAACUUGUUGACUAUGUUUAGUCUUGUAGCUUACUCGCUUAUGUAAUUUUACCUACGCUUAGGAUGUUGAAGAUGUAGCACAUCAU
rnacentral:rRNA from 1 species